rnacentral:lncRNA from 1 species
AUUACUUUGUCUGCUUCCAGUCUCUUCAAGGCUCCUGCCCGUGAGUUCCGUGAUGGAGGGCUAUCCUUUGAGCUCAGUCAUUCAACAACAGGGGCUUGUUUUACAGUUUCAGGUCAGUGAGUGAAGUGCAUAGAGGAAGAGUGUUUUGUCCGUUUUGCUGGAGCCGUGCAUCCCCUGAGCAAGCGUCCCAGGAGCUUCUGCUGACUCUCCUGGUUUCCGAGGGAACCCUUUUGGCCAUGGUGAGGGCUGCGCUCCCUUCUCUGCCUUGCGGUCAACCAUGAGCGGAUGGGUGUGAUGCCUGCUAGCCUAAAGGGUACUUAGGAAAAGCUUCUGUUGCCAGGGACUCUGCUGGAUCGUGAGGAGGCAUGUCCUUCCACACCAGGAGG